rnacentral:rRNA from 1 species
AACGAACGCUGGCGGCAGGCUUCAGACAUGCAAGUCGAGGGAGAAGCCACUUCGGUGGUGGACACCGGCGCACGGGUGAGGAACACGUGGGAAUAUACCCUUGGGUGGAGAACAACAGUUGGAAACGACUGCUAAUGCUCCAUAACGACUCCGGUCCAAAGCUCCGGCGCCCAAGGAUUAGCCCGCGUUAGAUUAGCUUGUUGGUGAGGUAAGAGCUCACCAAGGCGACGAUCUAUAGCUGGUCUGAGAGGAUGAUCAGCCACACUGGAACUGAGACACGGUCCAG